AGAAGGUUAUCAUAAUAAAUUGAGAGUAAUUUCGGCUUACUUAGUGCUUACCUGCAUCUUCUA
rnacentral:tRNA from 1 species